rnacentral:rRNA from 1 species
AACGUAGGAGACGAACGUUAUCCGGAGUUACUGGGCGUAAAGGGCGUGUAGGCGGUUUGUUAAGUCUGGCGUGAAAGCUCUCGGCUAAACCGGGAGAGGUCGUUGGAUACUGGCAAACUUGAGGAUGGUAGAGGCGUGUGGAAUUCCCGGUGUAGCGGUGGAAAUGCGUAGAGAUCGGGAAGAACAUCGGUGGCGAAGGCGGCCAGCUGGGCCGUUGCUGACGCUGA